GUUCGUGUAGAUCAGUUAGGAGAGCGCAAGACGGAAAAUCUUGAGGUCCUUGGUUCGAUACUGGGCGCUUUACU